GUGCUCGCUUCGGCAACACAAAUACUAAUAAAAAUUAGAACUAUACAAAGAAGGUUAGCAUGGUCACUGCGCAAGAAUGACAUUCAAAUUUGUGAGGCGUUCCAUAAAAAA